rnacentral:lncRNA from 1 species
CGGCAAGAAACUUCUUUGUUCUUUAGAGACUGAGCUCUAUCCCCAAGCACUAACAGAAUCGAGAUGGAGGAAGUUGGAAUUCUUCAUCUUGUCCAACAGAAAAUGAAGCACAAGCCCAGAGGAGCAAGAGGAAAGACAACACAAGUCCUUGUUCCAGUUGUUCCCAGAAGGUUCUGCGAGUAUUGUUACAGUUCAUGGAUGACCUCUGAGCUGCUGACUGCAGUAGAUUGAGUCUUCAAUCAGGAACAAUAAUAAUGGUAGUGAGUACUCAUGGAAAGCUUUUUAUGCUCUAAAUUCUGUUGUAAGCCCUUUACAUGUUUGAAGGCAUUUCAACCUUAUAAUAGGCCUUUGAAGUUAGAAAUAGUAUCAUUCCCAGUUUCUGGAUGAAAAAAAUGAGGCAUAGUUUAGGUAAUUUGCUCCAGAAGACAUGCAUAUAGUAAGUGACAGAUUUAAGACUCAAACAAGACCAUCUGCUUACAG